rnacentral:rRNA from 1 species
UUUAUUGGAGAGUUUGAUCCUGGCUCAGGACGAACGCUGGCGGCGUGCCUAAUACAUGCAAGUCGAGCGCG